rnacentral:lncRNA from 1 species
CACUAGGUAGUUGGGAAAUAUUCUGCAAAUGCCAAAUAAGGAUAUUUAAUACGUCACUUUCAGGGAGCCAAUCAGAUAUGCAGAUACUUAUGCAUAAUGGUGAAGCUGUAAGCAAGAUGGCGACUGUCCUGCAUCAGAUACUAGGUAUUUUGUGGCAAAGGCAAAGCGUACAUGCAGUUGUUAGAUCCUUACUUUAGAGAAUAUUUAGUCCACAAGACUAACGAGAGAAAAAAAUGGGGUCAUUCCUGGUAGGCCAUCUCUACCAGUAUCGGCCCGAUUGGGGGGUUUGGGGCAUGCUCCCCCAAGAUUUUUUUUUCAAAAUAAGAUGAAUCUCUUGCUAUUUGAUCACCACUACAGCACACAAAUGUUCAUUUGAGUUUUGAAAACAUAUAUUAGUUUUUUCCCCGAUUGAUUGAUUGAUUGUUAUUUGCUUUACGCCGCAUUAGCACAAAAAGGCUAUAUCGCGGCGAUUUUUUCCCCCCGAUAAAGGUUAAUUUUCAAUAAAUUAAGGUUCAUGUACUGUGGACCCUUUGGCUGAAAUUGCCGUAUUUUUCACCUCAAAAUUUACUUGAGUCUCGAGUUCAGACAGAUCUGAUAGAACCUUUAUUUCAGUUCCUCAAUCUUAAGGCCUGUUAGCAUGAAAUGUCUCAAUGUGUAGUUUUUCUCAACAUUUUUUUCUCUCCAUGUUCUCUGUGGUUUAAAUUAGUAUGCGCUGGUUAAGAUUGUCCUGAUUGAGGAACAGCAGUAUAACAGCAGUAUUAAAUCUGCCUGUUCUGUGAAUGUAAUGUGCCACUGUUAGUAGUUUGGCUUUUGUCCUUUCUGUGUUCUCGCUGUUCAGUCUCGUUAGAAAUAGAAGAUUGAGGUUUCUUACCCUGACCUCUUUGAAUAUUUGGUGUAACAUAUAUUCAUGUUUGUUCUCAUAGCAGGGACACACCAGAGGAAAUGAUGAGGCGUUUUAGAAGCUUCACAGUUGCAUGACUCUAUGGCGUUGGUUUGGCCUACUCGGUUCUUGUAGUAGUUGAGUUCUGUAUAGCCAGUUCUUAGUUGGGUGAAUAUUCUGAAAUGUCUUUUAGUUGGGAAAUCAUACAUAAUUGAGUGUUUCGAAGUUAACAUAAGCAACACCAUGGGUGCCAUGGACCUAUUGGACUGUCAUUAACAUGCCAUGGUCUUUUUUAUGCGAAUUACACACAUGAGACCAUGGAUCUUUAUCUCUGUUAGAAACACAUAGAGGACUAUUUUUACCACAAAUUAGACUCUUAUAUAGACAAGAUGUGGUAUGAAUGCCAAUGAGACAGCUACAUUGUAGUAGCAUGCCAUGGUCUCUUUUAUGCAUAUUAAUUAAACAUCAUACCAUAGGUAUAUAUUAUAUAUCUUUUUUUAUAACACAUUAUGGACUUUUAAAUCACCCUGAAACAUGGAUCAUAAAAAAAAGAAGAUGUGCAAUGAUUGCCAAUGAGACAACUAUCCACAAAAGACCAAAAUGACAGAUAUUAACAACUAUAGGUCACCGUACAGCCUUCAACAAUGAGCAAAGCCCAUACCGCAUAGUGAGCUAUAAAAGGCCCUGAUUAGACACUGUAAAACAAUUUAAACGAGAAAACUAACGGCCUUAUUUAUGUAAAAAAAAUGAAGAAAACAAAUAUUGAAAAUAAACAAACGAUAUCACUGAAUUACAGGCUCCUGACUUGGGACAGGCAAAUACAUAAAUAAUGUGCCGGGGUUAAACAUGUUAGCGGGAUCCCAACCCUCCCCCUUACCUGGGACAGCGGUAUAACAGUACAACAUAAGAAUGAAUUAUAAAAAUCAGUUGAAAAAGGCUUAACUCAGGCCUAAAAUAAAAUUUCAUUUGUUUGGCAUUGCCGCCCGACCCACUGAAAAACUUGCCGCCCGAAUAAUUUUAUUGGUGUUUCAAAAUUUGUAUUUUUUUUGUAUUAAAAAAAUCGGAAAACCGCCGGAAUUUUGAUCAUAUCCGCGGAGUUUGUUUCCGGGCUUUACUUAUUUCAAAUCAUGAUCUUUAAAGUGCUUGUUGUACACUGUAUUCAGAGCAAGCGUUUGAAUGACAUAGAUUCGAUAAAAGUCUGCCAAAAAUGUCAAAAAGACAGGCAGUGGAUAGCAUCCACUUAUGCUCUAGUCAAGGGAGAGGAACAUUUUAUUAAAAAUAAGAUGUUCACCUAUUCUUUAGAUGGAACAUGGGUUGAUGUUCUGAAAGGCCUUGUAGAGAACUCAAAUGUCGUCUUUGGUAAAGCAGACAGUCACGAGUGACACUGUAAUUUGUUGGUGUCUGCUUUGCAUCCUCACAUCAUGAGAUAGAAGCUUUUCACCCAGACAUGACAGAACAAACAUCUGUGGCUUUAACCUCUGAAAGAUCUCUUAAAUAUGUGAAAUCUAUCAUUGACAAAUUUUCCUUGAACCAGAUAACAAAGCAUGUUGCCAUGUAAAUUCCAAAACAAUGUAUUCUUUGACCUAUAAUUGUUUACUUUUACAAGUUGUGACUUGGAUGGAGAGUUGUCUCGUUGACACUCAUACCACAUCUUCUUAUAUCUAUUCAAGAUGAUGAUGCAUUGGCUUGAUGGCUGAAAGGUGUACCUGCAUGAAAGCACCAAAGCUAAAAGACCAAUAUGGUCCCAGAUUUACAGGUUUAUAGUAGUUUUGUACCAGUAGAGGUUAGCCUGGUACAAAACAUACAUAUUUCAAAGACUAGCCUCUUUUGUGUGUCAAGAAUUUAUGAACCCAACUCCUCUCUUUCUUCUUAUUAACAUGAAUAAGAUAAUUCUUAAAACAGAAAAGAUAUCUGACGGCAACAUAUUUAUAAACAUAUCUACUGGUAGUGUUCCAUUGUUUUAAGCAAACCAAGGGCUCAUGAAUUUAACUGUAUUUAUGUCAUGCAUGUCCAGAACCCUGUCAAUCAAACAAUCAUAACAACCUUAAAAUUUAUUUUAAAUUAUCUGUAAAAAUUGUCUGUCCUACAGCAUAUUUAUAUUUUGAAAUUAUCAUACUUUUUACUGCGGUUAUUACAAAUGCAGUAUAAAACACCCUGCCAGGGUGAGGCAUUCAUGACUGUUCUUGUGCCAACCUUCUAAAUUUGUAAUAUUUUGCUAUUCUCAAAGCUGAUCAGGGGCUGUAGUGGCUUUGACCAUUUGGUAGUUCCGCAAAAUUUGCAUGUAUCAAUGCUAGUCUUAUCACCUCUAGGGAUAAGUACAUGUAUGCAUUCACAAAAUUAAGGUUAGAUUGUCAUGACAUUUAUAAUAAGGUUCCUCUGUGCACUACACUUUCGUCCACCAAUAAAACUGACUGUAAUGAACUUGCCCAUAUGGUGUAGAAAGUUACUUUUAAUCCCAUCAAACAAGCAAACAAUCAAAGCUUUAAAUCAUCUAUUUGUACAAGGAACUGUAGUGGUCGAACUGAUUAAAAUAUGAUAAGUUUACCAAACUGAAGGCAAUUUCAAGAUGUGACAUUAAGGCUCUAUUCAAUGGACAGUCCCACAAUUGAGAUUCAAUUUUCAUGUCUAACAUGUUACAUGGUUAAUGUCAGUUCCCUACCACAGAUAUGUUUCUGCUGGGUACUUUGGUUUACUCCUCCAAAAAAACUGAAUGUUUGACAUGAAAUUAUCCAUGUGUUGUAGAAUGUGACAUUAACCCCUAUCAAAGAAACCAUAAGUUUGUACACACAACAAUGCUGCACUGCUUUGUGCUGUGAUCUAGAGUCAUCAUGGUUGUGAUAUAUAAAGUUUUUAAAUGUAAAAAAAAAAAAAAAAUCCCUACCUACCUACCCACCUGCUGAUGGUGUGAGUCGGCAAUGCCAAACAAACAAUUUUUUAAGGGUGGCCUCAUCAGAUGGACAAAAAUACAAAUGGAUGUGGCCCGGUACUUAUACAAUGAACAUCCUGACACAAAAAAAACACAAUGAAUAGAUCUGAGAGUACUCGUACUGUUAGGAACAUGUCAUGGUCUCAUUUGCGCAUAUUUAGCAUUAGACUAUGGACCUAUACAUAUGUUUUCAAUACAUCAUGUAUUUUAUACUACAAUAACACAUAAAACAAUUGACCAGUUAAAAGUGUAUCAUGCCACGGUCUCUUCUAUACUUAUUACACAUGAGACCAUGGACCUAUAUAUAUAUGUUGUCAAUACAUCAUGGACUCCUAUACAUUUUACCACAAUAACACAUAAAACCAGGGACCAAUUAAAAGUCCUGUAUUGUGCCAAGGUGUUUUUUUUUACACAUUACAAAUGAGACUAUCGACCCUCAACACACAGAGAAACAAAAGACCAUGGACCGAUUAGACCCUAACAUGCCAUGGUCUCUUUUAUACACUUGACACAUACCACCAUGGACCUAUGCAUAUGUUAUCAACACAUCAUGAACUCUUAUACCACAAUAAAAUAGAAGACCAUGGAACAAUUAGACUGUCAGUAACAUACCAUGGUCUCUUUUAUGAAUUAUACACAUUGAACCAUAGACAUGAUAGACCUAUACAUAUGUUAUUCACACAUCAUGGACUCUUAUACCACAAUGAUACAUAUAAAAACCAUGCACCAAUGGGAUUGUAACAUGAUGUGUCCUUCUAAUGCAUAUUUCACAUGAGACCAUGGACCUACAUUGGAUAUCGGUUAAAAUAAAAUUGAGAAUGGAAAUGGGGAAUGUGUCAAAGAGACAACAACCCAACCAAAUAAAAAGACAAAAGCUUGUCAUGGUCUCUUUUUUACAUAUCUCAAGUGAUACCAUGGACUUAUAGAUCUGUUAGUAACACAUUAUGGAAUCUUAUAACACAAUGAAACAGAAGACAAUGGACCAAUAAGACUGCCAUUGUUUAUUUUAUGAAAUUACACAUUGCACCAUGGACCUAUGUAUCUCUGACAUUACAUCAUGUACUUUUAUACCUGUAUUAAACCGAAGCGAGGGACCAAUUAAGACUUACAGUAGCAUACUAUGAUCUCUUUUAUAAAUAUUACACAUGAGACCAUGGACCUACAUGUAUAUACAUAUGCUUAUUUGACAAAUUUAGACAUUUGUUCAAGUUUUAUCGUAAUUUUUAUUUUUGUAAUGCAUUAGAAUCGGAAUAACAGUACUGUAGUUGAAGAGUUGCCACCGUCAAUUUUGAUUUGACGGUCUCAAAUCUCGGUUUUACUGUCUCCGCUACGCGUCGCCAGUAAAACUGCAUUUGCGACCGUCAAAUCUACAAUUGACGGUGGCAACUCUUCAACUACAGUACUGUUAUUCCUUAAUUACCCUGUCAGAAACAUGCCAUGGUCUCUUUUAUACCUGUUACACAUGAGACCAUAGACCUUAACAUUUGUUAUUAACAUCGAGGAACUGUAUACCACAAUGAAAACAUAAGACCAUGGACCAAUUAGACUUUUAAACAUGCCAUGGUCUCUUUUAUACCUGUUACACAUGAUACCAUGGACCUAUAUAUCUGUCAGAAGCACAUCAUUGACUUUUAAACCACAAAGAAACAUAAGAUUAUGGACUAAAAAGACUAAACGACAUGCCAUUGUCUCAUUUAUACUUAUUACACAUGAGACCAUGGACCUAAGCAUAUCAUGGAUUUUUAAACCACAAAGAAACAUUAAACCAUUCAUGAGCCAAAUAGACUGAAUAAAAAGCAAUGAUCUCAUUAAUACAUAUUACACAUGAGACCAUGGAUAAUCUGUAAGUAACACUUCAUAGACUCUAUAAAUAACACAAUGUAUUAACACAGCAUGGACCCUUAUACCACAAUGAAAUAGAAAACUAUGGACAUCAAUUAGACUGUCAGAAACAUACCAUGGUCUCUUUUAUACAUAUUCCACAAUGAAAUAGAAGACCAUGGACCAAUAACAAUAACUGUAACAAGAAGUGGUAUAUGUUAUACAGAUUAUACAUGUGGAUAUCAUGACUAUAGACCUAUGUAUCUGUUUUCAACGCAUCGUGAACUCUUUCACUAUAAUGAAAAGGUCGACUGCAGGAUACAAGUUUUGCUUCCAGUUACUGAUAUAAAACACCUAUACUUUAAGUAUCUGACAUAUUUUUUUAUAAAUGUAAAAAGUGUUAUGAUAUUUUUUUCGAAUAUUAUAUAUAUAUUUUCCCUUGGUAUCACACUUAUAAGUAUUAUACUUUUAGGUGGAGAAUUUCAAUGAUAAACAUCCAGGAUCUGCUACUAUUUGUAUGGCUGUUGUUCAUAAUGUCAAUGUAUCCGCUGGUAUGUAUCUGUAAUCAUAUAUUUGAGACUUUUUUAAUUGAGAAAUUUUUUGGUCAUAUAUUGGUAUGACGUUGGCGUUGUUGUCGUCGUCUGAAGACAUUUGGUUUUCCCACUAUAACUUUAGUAUAAGUAAAUAGAAAUUUAUGAAAUUUUAACAUAAGGUUUAUGACCAUGAAAGGAAGGUUGGGAUACUAGUAGGUUGGGAUUGAUUUUUGGAGUUUUGGUCUAAAAAAAGGUUACAAAUAAGCAUUUUUCUUUUUUUUUUGCACAAUAACUUUAGUAUAACAUGUAUAAGUAAAAAGAUUUCUAUGAAAUUUUAACACAAGGUUUAUGACCACAACAGGAAGUUUGGGAUUGAUUUUGAGAGUUUUGGUCCCGAUAGUUUAGGGAAUAGGGGCCAAAAGGGUCCAAAAUUAAACUUUGUUUGAUUUCAUCAAAUAAUGAUUUAUUGGGGUUCUUUGAUAUAUGCUGAAUAUAAGCAUGUACUAAGUUAUUUGAUUAUGGGCCCAGUUUUCAAGUUGGUCCAAAUUGGGGUCCAAAAUUUAAACUUUGUUUCAUUUCAAUUAAAAUUGAAUAUAUGGGGUUCUUCAAUAUACUGAAUCUAACCAUGUACAAUGAUGUAUUUAGAUUUUUAAUAUUUGGGCCCGGUUAUCAAAUUGGUCCACAUUGAGGUCUAACGGGUCUUGAAUUGAACAUUAUUUGAUUUUAUCAAAAAUUGAAUUCUUGGUGUUCUUUGAUAUGCUGAAUCUAACCAUGUAUUUAGAUUUUGGAUAUUGGACCAUAAUAGGUAAAUGUGCAACUUUUAAAUUUUUUAAGUUUAAGUUCUUAAACCACAUUCAUUCUGUGUCACAAACCUAUGUUGUGUCAACUAUUUAAUCACAAUCCAAAUUCAGAGCUGUAUCAAGCUUAAAUGUUUUGUCCCUACUUGCCCCAACUGUUCAGAAUUGAAUCUGAGGUCGUAUAAAUCUGCAACCUGCGGAGCAUCUGGUUUUCUUUGAUAAACUCUUAUCAUGCCAUGACUUAAACAAAUAUUAUUACAUGUAUGUAUUAUUAUAUUAAAUGGAUUUAUUAACCAUAGUCAUGUAAAAGUAAUUAAGCCUGAAAAAUAUUUAUAGAUUAUUGAUUAUUUGCAACAUCUUUAUUAAAGACGGACAAACAUCCACUAGUUAGAAAGAUAAUUGCUUAUUUAUUUUAAAGUUAAAAUAUAAUAGAUGAAAUAGACAUAUAAAUAUCGAGGCCUUCUGAAAAUAUCACAUUUAUGAUAUUUUCAGAAAGCCUGUUCUAAUUAUAAAUUCAACUUUCUUUUUUUAAAUUUUAGAUGUUUAAUAUUAAAAAGUUUCUUUGCUUUUCAAGUAAUAACUUAGAUUUUAACAGCAAAUGUAAAUAUAUUUAUAUAUGUUCUUGUAUUUUAUUCAGGUUCAGUACAGAUGAAGUCCAUAUUCACCAAAAUGAUCAUGAGACAACUACUUAGGUAACUAACAGACUUGCUGAUGAAAAUAUGAGCUAUGACAGGACAGAAGUUGGGGAGUGACUAAGAUUAGCUAAAAAUGUAAGUCAUGGAAAAAUGCUCUUGAUCAUAUAUCCUACAUGUACCUCUGUUCAAAGAAAAUUUAAAUGACAGUUAAAUGCAAACAUUGAAAUCAUAUUUUAAUUUUUUUAAUUAUUUUGAUGAAUAUACAAUUUUCUGGGAUGUGAUCUUUAAAUAAAAAUAUGUUUGUUUAAACUGAAGAAAGUAAUAACAUUUAACAGGAAACCAAUUAGUGGAGUAUCAUUUUGGUAUUCAAUACUCAGUACUACCGAGGGAUACUUUAGUAAUAUAUAUAGAUAGUUUAUUCUCAUAAAAUCAUGCAAGUACAAAAGUUACAGAGAAGUUGAAAAAUAAUAUACAUAAAAACAAAAUAUGCAUUAAAAAUGCAUAAACUUCAAAAAUUUCGGAUGAGAUAACAUAUUAAAGAAUAUAAAUAUAGACUUUUAUAGUCAAUUGAAAUGUUAAAGUUGUAUAAAGAAAUACUUCCUAUAAGUAUGGUAAAUAAAUUAUGGUUGUUAAGAAGGAGUGAGCUUACUUUUAAUACAUCUUAUAAAAUUGCAGAGGUUUCUAAGUCUCUGUUUUUUUUUUUGAAUUAAACAGUUUGUUGAAGGCAAUAAUGUUAUGUCUUGGUACUAGUUCAUUUGGGAUAAAUCUUCUUCUUUCAUCUUGUAAAGCGGAGCAAACAAAAAUAUAGUGGUAUUCGUCUCCGAUAUCACUUUUCGAAUACAUUGAACAUUUUCUAUCGCUUCUGUAAUCAAGUACUCAUUGAAAUCCUAUAUUUACGUAUGUUAUUCAAGAUGAAUAAAAAUAAAUAACAGAUGAAAUAUCCAAAUCAACAAAUCAGAACUGAGUAAAUGAAAAAAAAUAUUUUAUUUUUGUCACUUGGCUACAGUUUAUAUACAUUCUAUGAUUUUUAGGCAAAAAAUGUAUAAAGCAGAUCAACACCAGAAUGGAAUCACACCAAGAAGAACAGAGAAGAUUAAUAAAUCUAUGUUUUUUAGCCGUUUUAGUGCAAGUAUUUAUAAUGCCGCUUACAUUUUGUAUAAAAAAGCAUGAAUCAUAGUUUAGGUUCACA